rnacentral:lncRNA from 1 species
UAUUCAUCCGUUAGCCACCCGAUAAGAUAUCGGGCGGAUUGGUAUCGGGUUAGCUCUUACCGGGCGGUUACUGGACAGUUUAUCGGUUUAAUACCUAAGGGCUCAAAUAUAUUCUGUCCGCACACUAGGACAAAACUAAAAUUUCCUGUGCAUGAUUCCAGGCGGUUUAUCGGUUUAAUAUCUAUGGGGGUUAUCGAAAAGCUUAUAUCGAAUUACAAUACUUGUACAAUACUUAAAAGUCUAAAAAGCAGAAGACAAUGGUACAAGCCUUGAGUCGAC